rnacentral:lncRNA from 1 species
CCAGGCUCGGUCACUGCACAUCUGUUAUUCAGUUCACUCACAGACAGCAAACCAAGGGGUUGUGCUGUCUCCUUGUCUCCCAGGGAUAAACCCACAUGACAGUUUACAAAAACAGGUAAUCAUAAGAAGCAAAUGGCCCAGAUGAAACACAGCAAAAGAAUGAGAAGUGGUAACACUGGGAGUGAAAUUUGAACCAAGCGUAAAUGGAGUGAUCGUAGAAAUAGCUGACUGUGGAAUGUGGACACUCUCUGUAUCUGCAGCCUGGGAAGCUUAAAGAAGGUGAACUUACUGACACCAGUUAGAAAGUGACUGUGAUGAAACGAUGAAGAUGCUCCAGAGGAAGUGACACCAGCAAUAGGAAAAAAAAAACAAACCUCUCACUGAAGGAACUCUCGGAGAUAUUUCAUGACACAGAAGGCACAAAGGAUACAAUAUUGGCAACUAAUCGAAACUUAGAAAUGAUAUGACAGCUCACCAAGGCAUAGAAAAAGAUGCUUGCUCUAUCAUAAGUUAUAGAAUGAGAAGAAGCAGUAUAUCAGAAAACUCAAAUAUAACUCCACAACUUUUUCAAGAGUUUCUUUUUGUUUUCCAAUGGUAACGGGAGAGAAAAUAAGCUGUCAUUAUCGGAAUGAUCAAACACAGAGAGAAAAGAGGCAGAGAUUUGGCUUCUGGCUUGCUCUCUUUGUUUGGGUAGCUAGGCAUGAAAAAGAAUCAUCUGCAACCAGAGCUCAACUUAAUUCCCAGUUCCUCUCUGGAAACUAUCUGUUGGCAUCAUGAAAUGUUCUGUGUAAAAGGCCAUGCUUUGACUGAUCAAAAGUGGGAUUUCAGACCCUCCAUCAGAGUCUUUGUGGAUGAAACUCAGCCAAUUCUCGGAAAGUGACAGAAGAGGCCUGCACCUCUGGCAUAAUUUGCGUCUCCCCAGCAUCUCACUGUUCCUGCCAAUGACAAACAGGAACCCCCGACAAUUUUUCCUCUCUCUCCUGGCAAUGCAAUGAUGGCCCAGCUGUUUUCUCACUAUAAAAAGGCAGUCACUUCUCUCUAUCACUACAGUCUAUAGCAAAAGGUCUACUUACAUUACUGAUUGAACAACCAUGUAUCAUAUGAAAAACCACAAAAGAAAUUCACAGGAGAGGCUCUAAGAUUGCUGAUCAUUUUAUCCACAUCCCAGUGUCUACAUCUGAGCAUGGUGCUCGGUAGAUAUUGCAUGAAUGAAGGACAAGAAAUUUGGAAAAAUACUGCAUUGUCUACUGUUUUCAGAAAUAUUUAUGCAGGGUAAUUUUAAUGUCUGCCAUUUUCCCUUGGGUCAGGGAAGCCACUGUAUGAUAUUAUAAUUGCUUUGAUUUGUAUCGUGUUACCUACUAGGUUCAAGACACAUUCAGGAGUGUUCUGAAAAACAUAAUAGAAAUUGACAGAAAAAAGUGACUGAAUAGACUUUCAGAAAAUAUGAAAGAUUGAAUACAGAAGUUUGUUUUCCCUUUUCCAAGCCCCUCUAAAAUGACAGGAAAAAUAAAAAUAAAACAUGGAUCCCCCAAAACAAAGGAAACAGAAAGGGAAAUGACCACAGAUGAUAGACAGCCACAAAAUUUUGGACAUGGCAACCCAAGAGGAGAGAGGGAUGAGGCUACAGGAGGAGGAGUCAACCAGAAGAAGCAAACCAAUUUAUAGCUCAGAAUCCCCAGAAAGUGUCAGGAAUUGAGGAUGCCAGCUGCCUCUGAAGGCAAAUUGAAAACAAGACAAUCAAUUAAAAAUCUUUGUAAGGAGUAGGCAAAUUCUGAGGUCUCCUAAUCAACCCUUUGUGGCCAGGUAGCCAACUCUCCCUACUCCAGCAGAGCACCAAAGAUGUCCUCCCUGGAGAUGUGGAUGAAUAGGUAUUCCAGACUUGGGAACACCAGACACAGCUGAGGUACCACAAUUAAAUGGAGAAACUAAGCAAAAAAUCACAUUAUAAACAAAAAAUCUGACCCAACUCCACGCCCUUCUUUAUGUCAAUUCUCAGAAAUACUGCAUUGUCAUUAAAGCUUAGAACUGUAGACAGGAGAGAGAAAACUAGUCAUAAAUAACUAGAAAUAAGAAUAGCAUCAUCUUCUCAAUAGCAACAACGGCAGCUUGAUCUCAAUUUACUCUGAUUCAAUCCCACCCUCACACACCUCAAAAUACUUGGUUCUGUGGCUUUGACUUCAUGCAUAGACUCCUAUAAAAUACUAGUGCUUGCCUCUUAAAGCAUAGCAUAUCCAUCCAGCCCCUGUGACCAAAGAAAUGGUCUUGGCUCUCAUCCUAAAGAGAUAUUAAGAAGCAGCCUUAACAAAGGAAAAGACCAGCAUGGAUUGUGCCCCUAGACCUUCUAUUCUUUGGAUAGUACUUUACCCUUAAUUCCCUGUUCUCCUCUUUUGAUUAUAACCUAAUUGGCAACUGUAGCAGCCAAUCUCAGAUAUGUUCUUGAUUUCUGCAAUGUAGCCAAAGGCGGAUUUCAUCACAUUCUCCUUUUUUUACUUUUUGCUGGUGAUGGAAGGAGCAAUUGGUUCAUGAGCUUGGUUUGAUGAUUAAAUAAAUGGCUUGGUGACAUUUGGAGUGUCAGCUUUCCAGAUCUGCAAUCACCACAAAACUGCAGACACAGAUAACGAACCUGGGGUGGAGUUGCUGGGUUCAGAGACCAUAGAUUGGAUAUUACCUCACCAUUAGAACAUCAGUCUUGAUUUCCCUUUCUUGGCUGCAUUUAGAGGCUAGAUGCCCGCUCCUCCACAACUAUGUAAUGGAGACAAGAAGGUGGUACAAAGAAAGUCCACCACAGUUUAUGGAGCCUGCAGAAGCCAGUGUGCUUGACACACACUGUCAUCCUGUUGUUGCAAGUAUUCUUUUUAUAGUGGAGGAGGAGGACGAAGAGGAGGAGAUCACAUUUUAAAAAGAAUGAUCUCAUCUUUUUAGGUGAGAAGAUGGAGAAGAUGAAUACAUUUGCUUUCAGCAAACCAAUGGAAGUCCAUUUGCAUGAUCUGAAAAGGAAAAUGAGAAGCUAAUUUUUCUAUACAAGGCAGAAUUUAAGAAAUACAAUUCCUAAGGACUCCAGUGGAUACAGCUCUGGUUCCUGGACUUCGUGUUUUGGCUUGGUCUUUCUGCUUUUUCAAUUUUGUCACUGAUUCCAGAGAGGCUUUCAAAGGAAGUCGUGGAAUCUUCUGUGGCAAUAACAACCAUUCACAUUCACUCCCGGAGAUGUAGACUUUCUUGUGGCCUUACAGAUUGAUCACAGCCAUCAAAGGAGGAAUGAACACGUUUCCUGAGGCACUCUAUUUACAUACUCAGGGUUUUUCAUCAAUCAUGUAAAAGAGAGUUACAUUUUCAGGUCAAAGUGACUCAUCAAGCCAGAGGGGUGAGUCAUGGAAGACAUAUGACGCUUUCCAGUUUAACCUGCUGUGCGACUAUGAACACCUGUAACAGUCAUCUUGCCAUAAAUCUCUCCCUGACCUUUCUGUGACAAGAGAAACUGCUACCAAAUCCUGAAUCCUACCUGUAUAGUAAGAAAUGAUUUCAGUGUUUAUUGCAGAAAUCUUCUAUUUGGAGAAUUUAAAUUUAAAUCAAAUUCAGAGGCAAAUUCAUAUCUUACUUUAGAAGUAAAGCAAAUCAUUGGAAAAAGCACUGGGGGAGAGAGAUUGAGAUAGAGAAAGAGAGAGAUUCUCUUUCAAUCAGCAAUUCUGUGUCUAUUAGUUUUUCUUGAAAUAAGCAAGUCUUGAAAGAUGUAUGUACUGGGUGUUUAUUGCAGUAGAUUGAAUAUUACGAAAAUAUUGAAAAUUAUCCAAAAAUCUAAGGCUAUGAAACUUAAUUAUGGAAUAUUCAUACAAUGAAAUAUUAUGAAGUCUUGAAGAAUGAUAGGAAAUUGUGAUAUAUUGUUUUAAAAGUUGUAUCUUCAAUAAAUAGUGAAAAGAGGAAGAUAUCAGAAAAACCUACAGAUUAAAAGAGACUUAUGAAACUUUUUUUUUAAUGGGGGAGACAAGUUCUCACUCUGUUGCCCAGGCUGGAGUGCAUAGUGUGAUCAUGGCUUACUGCAGCCUCAACUUCCUGAUCUCAAGUGAUCCUCCUGCCUCAGCCUCCCAAGCAGCUGGGACUAUAGGUGCACACUACCAUGUCCAGCCAGGAAACAUAUUAACCAGUUGCAAUGUACUGCAUUGCCCUCAUAAGUCUAAGCAUGCACACAUACAGAAUAUUAAGGAAAUGUAAACACUGACCAAUUAUUGAAUUAUACUAUGGAAUUUUUAUAAUUAUUUUUAAGUGUGAUAAUGGUUUUUUUUUUAGUUCUAUAUUUUAGAGAAAAAAUACUAUGCUGAUUGGAGAAUGUAAAGAUAUAGAUGAAACAAGAUUGAGGAAGUUUGAAAGUUUACUAUACACUUCUCUCUACUUAUGUACAUGUUGAAAAUGAUCCAUUUGUUAAAAGGUUUUUUUAAGUUAUAAAACAGUGUGUAUACUGUGACCCUAUUUGUUAAUUAUUUUAAUAUCUUUUUUCUUAUUCUUCUAUAAAAGACAUGACAAUAUUUUGAGGUAAAAAUACUUUUUACUUAUUCAUGUAUUUAUUUUUUGAGAUAGGGUCUCACUCUGUCACCCAGGCCUGAAUGCAGUGGCAUGAUCUUGGCUCACUGCAGCUUCUGCCUCCCAGGUUCAAGCGAUUCUUCUGCCUCAGCCCCUGAGUAACUGGGAUUACAGGCAUGAGCCACCAUGCCUGGCUAAUUUUUGUAUUUUUAGUAGAGACAGAGUUUCACCAUGUUGCCCAGACUGGUCUUGAACUCCUGACCUCAAGUGAUCCGCCCGCUUCGGCCUCCCAAAGUUCUGGGAUUACAGACGUGAGCCACCACACCUGGCCCAAACAUACUUUUUAUAAUAAAUAAGUAAUUUGACAACUUGAACUGAUUUACUCUAGCCAUUAAUCUCUCAAAAUUUGCUGUUUUCCCAUUAUAUCUAAUAUACUACUGAGUUUACAGUUCAUAAACUAUUAAAAAUGACAGCGUGAGAUGGACUCACAUGUUGUCUCAAAUUAAGAUCUUCUAUUAUCAUAAGGCCCAUCCAUCAGUUGUGAGGUGACUUUUAUCCUGUGGCCAGGGAGCCUGAUAAUUCAUGCCUGGGGCAAGCAAGGAGAUCAGGACAACUCACGCGAAACCCCGGACUUUCCAGUUUUCAUACAAAGCUGGACUUUCAUAAACAAAACAAGGAAAGAAACUGAGCAUCUUAACAGGCGAAUUUAGGGGAAAAAACAAACAAACAAACAAACGUCUUUUUUAUAUAAAUGAUUUGAGUAAUUUAGAAAAAUUUUAAGGGCCAUUUUGCCUAAAUUAAUAAGAAAAUGUGAUUGCUCCAGGUACCAAUUUUGCUCUUUUAAGAUGGCCGGGUUUACCUCAGCUCUCAGAAAAAAAAACAAAUCAUCCCACCGUAACAUUUUCACACUCCUAAAAUAAGCUUUAAAUUUUAUUUAUUUAUUUAUUUAUUUAUUUAUUUUUGAGACAAGGUCUCUGUUUCACUCAAAUUGAGUGUAGUGGCAUGAUCGUGGCUCACUGCAGCCUCUAACUCCUGGGCUCAAAUGAUCCUCCCAACUCAGCCUCCCAACUAGCUAGGACUGCAGGCACGCAACACCACAUCUAGCUAUUUUUUUUAUUUUUUGUAGAGAUGGGGUCCCACUGUGUUGCCCAGGUUGGUCUCAAACUCCUAGAUGCAAGUGAUCCUCCUGCCUCAGCCUCCCAAAGGGCUGGAUUACAGGCCUGAGCCACCACACCCAGCCAAGUUUUGAGUGGGCCUUCCUGAAAGUGAAAGUGAAAGUGACUGUGUGCAUAUACAAUGGAAUUGGAAUAAAUUAAAUGUAAUGAACUUCUCACAUCAGCCUCUGUUGAUGGGUGGGCUGUGCUAUGUACUUGCUCUUGCUUAAAGACCCAACCACACAUCCUGUGUGCAGGAAAGACAGCAGUUUGGAAAUUGCAGGACUGUGAUUCUGCUCAUGCCCUCCAAGGCUCCAAACUGUUUGACUAGAAAAUUCUGCUUUGCUUCUGGUGUUGGUCUCCGCUUGCUAGGUCUCUCAACUGCAGGCCCUGAGCCCUAUCUCAGGUAACUAAGUUCUGCCCCACUCAACUUCUGAGUCCAAGUUCAUCAUCUGUCCAGAGUGAGUCUUUGCCACACCAGAGUAGGGUGGAGUGGGCCUUGCUACCCUGCCCUGUAGCCAGAUGGGUGCUAGGUCUGGAGGCUUCUCCCCUGACCCCUUGUCAUUCACAAUAGCACCUCGGGACUUCUGUUUUGGUUUUCUGAAUGUUCCCCUGGCCCAUACCCAGGGGGAAGCCCACAGUCUCAGCCCCCUAGAAGUGGCCCCUUUUCAUCCUGUAGUAACCACAGGCUGAGGUCUGAUUCCCUUCAUAAGGGACCACCUGAAACUACACUGCCCCCUCCUGGAUGCCAUUCCUCUUGCUAUGACAUCCAUGCAAGCAACUGGCCGCCCCCCUCCACAUGAGACACCCAAAAAUUUUCUUGGGAUGGGAUUGAACUCUAAUUUGCUAUACCUGUAAAACAUAAUUAGGACCGUAGGGUAUGCCUCAGUGGUAAUACAGAAGCAGGAGCCGACUGAUAAAUUUUCAGGAUUUUUGCAAGUUGGACUGUUAAACACCCCCAGUAUUAAAAUUUGAGUCAUAUAAACUUUUAAUUAAUCUAUACUAAAAAUAAAGGUCAUACUCAAAACUCAUCACUUCUUAUCUUACUACAUUUUACUACUGUCUAUGCUCUGAGUUAUUUACAUUGACUGUAGUGUUAUUUGUAUGACUGUAGUGUUAUUUGUAUGGUGGAAAUUACUCCACUUAUCAAAUCAUGGUUGAAUUGCAACCAUCGGUUGGCUAUGGAGACAAGAGUUCAGUAAAAAUCAAUGAAAGCAUUCUGUGAGAGUCAAUUGGCCAUAUGGGACUUAAAAUAAGGGUAUUGCAUAUUUUAUUAUUAUUUAUAAAUGGCAUGCUACUCAUCCUUUUUUGUAUCAAUAAAAUUUAUAAGUUGAUGUAUUUUAUUUUCCAAAGAGCCUAUUGUUAAGCAUUUCCCAGCACACCACUGUAUCCCAUCUACCGGACUGUGAGCCCAGUUCUAUGGUCUCAUCCACAACUUCGGUUCUGCUCACCUCCUGCACUGACUUUGAGACUGUUGGAGAACAGGAGGCUCAUACCCAACCCACUCUUAAUUUAUCUCAUCCAUGUGGCAGGACAUCCAUUAGCAUAACACACCUGGCUUCGGCUCCCCGCCACACUCCUCUAGGCAAACUGACUUACCCGGUUGGUGAAUUUGGAAGAAAAACUGUGUCAUAUAUAGCUUAGCUUUUUUCCUUUUCUUAGGAGCUACCCGCAGGAGGGGCAUCUUUCUCCAGAGGCAAAGCCUGCCUUGUUCUGGUGUUGCCUGAGGCUGAUGGGCAAGUUGGUCAAAUCCCAAAGUUUAGUUGAUAAGAACUGCACUUGCUUGAAGAUAGAAGCUAUGCUUUCCCAAGUAGCAUUGAUCAAUAAGGAGCUACCUGCAGGUAGCAGGUGUGAUCCAGAGAACAUGCCUUUCACUGUGAAAACCAGCACCUUCAAGGCCAGGCGCAGUGGCUUGCGCCUAUAAUCCCAGCAUAUUGGGAGGCCGAGGUGGGUGGAUCACCUGAGGUCAGGAGUUCAAGACCAACCUGACCAACAUGGUCUACUAAAAAUACAAAAAUUAGCCCGGCAUGGUGGCGGGCGCCUAUAAUCCCAGGUACUCGGGAGGCUGAGACAUGAGAAUAGCUUGAACCAGGGAGGCGGAGGUUGCAGUGAGACGAGAUCACACCAUUGCACUCCAGCCUGGGCAACAGAGCAAGACUCCAUCUCAAAAACAAACAAACAAACAAACAAAAACACCACACAAAACCAGCACCUUCCACAGUGUCUAGCAUACGUUAGUCACCAAAACAGGUUUGCUAAAUGAACAAAUGAAUGAAUGGCAUUUUAUGUGUCAGUAAAUAUGCUUCAAAAUCAUGAUGUAUGAUGAGUAAGCAACUCUAUCAAAUAAAUAUAACGUAAUUUGCUGUGAGCACAUAAUUUGCUGUGUUCUAGUAUUGAACAGUUGGACUAUUUCCAUAUUUUAAUUUUUACUAUUAUGUUUGAGGAUGAUAUAUAAAUCUU